rnacentral:rRNA from 1 species
ACGAACGCUGGCGGCGUGCUUCACCCAUGCCAGUCGAACGGUGAAGCGCCUUCCUUUUUGGUGGGUGUGGAUGAGUGGCGAACGGGUGAGUAACACGUGAGUAACCUGCCCCCUUCUUCUGGAUAACCGCAUGAAAGUGUGGCUAAUACGGGAUAUUCUGGGUCUGUCGCAUGAUGGGUCUGGGAAAGAUAUUGUUUCGGUGGGGGAUGGGCUCGCGGCCUAUCAGCUUGUUGGUGGGGUGAUGGCCUACCAAGGCGGUGACGGGUAGCCGGCCUGAGAGGGUGGACGGUCACACUGGGACUGAGACACGGCCCAGACUCCUACGGGAGGCAGCAGUGGGGAAUAUUGCACAAUGGGCGCAAGCCUGAUGCAGCGACGCCGCGUGAGGGAUGGAGGCCUUCGGGUUGUGAACCUCUUUCGCCAGUGAAGCAGGCCUGCCUCGUUUGUGGGUGGGUUGACGGUAGCUGGAUAAGAAGCGCCGGCUAACUACGUG